AGAGAAAAUAAAAAAACAGAAAAACUAAAAACUACAAUAAAGACUAAAGCUACAAAGAAAAACAAGCAAAAGCAACAAACAAAAAACACCUAAAAAUAAAUUAAGGGGAUCAUGGAUGAUAAAGCACCAAUUCCGAGUAUAGAACUCGAACAUUUGCAAAGUUGCCGCAGAUCCAAAGAACUGGAAUCCUCAUCUUUGUUGCCAAGAGCUCCUCUUUCCGAGACCUGCCCUUAAACCUCGCAAGUGAGAAUAGCCUAUAGCUUCUCCAAGAACUAUGAAAACGAACCAACUUCAGAAGAUCAAGCUACACCCGGCGGCAUAGGAGCUUCUACUAGCAAUCAGAGAAGUUGCCUCCGGCCAGCAUCCUCAAGCUAUAAAAUCCUGAAGAAUCAUCUCCCAAGGUUGCAACAGAGCCGCCAAAGUCAGACCGAUGCCUCUAUUCAACACCUAAUCACCACCAACACUGCAGCAGACCAAAACUCAAUUGAAUAAUCCCAUGUCCAUAACCUUUGAAGCGAAGCCACGCUGGAAACCAUAAUAGAUCUGGAUAGAUCCGAAGAGCAAACAAAGGGGAAACUCUGAACUCCACCACAUUGAAGCGCCACCCCCAGCCAUCACCGAAGAGGUGCUCACGCCAGACCCAAGACAUCCGCCUAGGCAUAACCUCACGAAGGAGAAUAUGCACACGCCGAAAAGAGAUGCCACUAAUGAGACGUCGCACCCUGACCACCGCACUUGACUGGAGCAGGGACAGUACUCAAAUCCCUGCCAUUGAGAAAGAGCAGACGAACCAGAGAGAGGCCAAAACACCAUUUUGAUCGAAAGAUCACUUAAGACGAGACAAGAAGAGGUAGACAGAUCGCCGAUGAACUGCCAAACGCCACACAAUUACAAUGAAUAGAUCUGUCACCUCAACCACCAGAUAAUCUUUCCCAAAGUGGUGACUCCUCAACUUCCCUGCUGAAAACUGAAUAAGCAGAGAAGCAUAACCGAACAAAAGAAAGCAGAACAGCCCUCUCCAGACAGAGGUGAGGAGCACCGACCACGGAGAGCUGGAACGAGCUAAGGCGAAGAGGAGUGGCAGCUGCAAGUCGAGAAAGAAUAUAAGAAGAACUUAUUAAGCACUCACAAUAAUGUUUACAAGUUAUGGGAAUAUAAAAUAACAUAAUAGUAUUUAACACUUUCGUACUAUUAUUAAAUUAAGUUCCCGACACAACAUAUUUCUGGAAACACACACAACAAAGAAUUACAAUACAAAAUAACACCCAAUUAACAUAUAUUGCAGCAUCCAUAAUUACUAUGUAUAGUAAAUUCACAUGAAACAUAUAAAGUUAGUCUUAUAUAAGUUAAGAAAAAAAGAACAAGAGAAAGUGAGUAACUCCUAGAGAAAAAUAAAGGAAUCAGUAUUAUAUAAAUGAAAAGAAACACAAACAAAAAUAAUGUACGAUAAUUAUAAACUGUAUAAAAUAAUUCUUUUUUUAACUAUAAACAAAACCGGUGAGAAAGAAAAAGAAAUUUAAAUUUGAUAAACGCAGGUUGGAUAAUUAAGAACUAAAGCAAGUCAUUUUGGAAGGUUGGAAGUAAGAGGAUUUGCCACCAGAAGCUAAUAUAAUGAAUCAUAUUGCCAGUUGUAGAAAGGCAUUGAGUCAAUGGAGGAGACAAAACAAUGUGAAUACAGAAAAGCAAGUGGAGGAGCUUAAAGAAAAGGUGGAGGAUCUAUAUUCAAAUGAUGAUGCUACCUCUGAGGAAAUAGCUGACGCGCUUAAGGAACUAACUACUGCUCUUAAGGCAGAAGAGAUGUUUUGGAGACAGAAUAGUACGGUUCUCUGGUUAAGGGAAGGUGAUAAGAACUCUAAAUAUUUUCAUGUGCUGGUGAAGCAGAAAAGAGCGAGGAAUAGGAUCACACAACUUCUAGACGAGAAUGGAAACGUGGUGGAGGAUGAGGAAGGAUUAGUAGCCAAUGCUACUAGCUAUUUCAGGCAAAUUUUUGAGUCUUCAAACCCGGAGGAUAUAGACGAUGCUUUGACAGAGGUAUCAACAUCGAUUACUGGGGCAGUAAAUGAGGACCUCACAAGACUAGUAACUGAAUGGGAGGUAAAACUGUCUCUUUUCGCAAUGCACCCAGAAAAAGCCCCAGGGCCAGAUGGAAUGACGGCUCUUUUCUAUCAGAAGUUUUGGGAUAUUGUCAAAGAGGAAUUAAGUCUUAUGGUUAAUCAGUUUCUUUUCGAAGGAACAAUGGCGCAUGGAUUAAAUGAUACUAAUAUCUUCCUAAUUCCACAGACGGAUAAGCCGAAAGAGAUGACAAAAUUUAGACCUAUCAGCAUGUGCAAUGUCAGUUAUAAAAUAAUAUAUAAGGUCUUAUGCCAAAGAUUGAAGAAGGUCCUCCCACAACGGAUAUCAGAAACCCAGUCAGUUUUUGUUGCAGGGAGACAGAUCACAGAUAAUAUCAUGAUAGCUCUGGAGAUGUUUCACGCUCUAAGAACCAAACAAGGUAGACAAGUCAAGAGAAUGGGCAUAAAGACGGAUAUGAGUAAAGCAUAUGAUAUGAUUGAUUGGUCAUUCAUUGACGCUGUCAUGCGGAAGAUGGGUUUUUCAGAAAUAUGGAUUGGCUUGAUUAUGAGUGUAUUACCUCGGUCAAGUACAAAGUACUCAUGAAUGGAGACGCAAGGGGAAAUAUUGUUCCAGGUAGAGGUUUACGUCAAGGAGAUCCUCUGUCUCCUUUCAUAUUUAUUCUAUGCACAGAAGCGCUCGUUAGCCUUCUUAAUCAUGCAGAGAAUCAAGGGAAGAUAACGGGCACGCGAGUCGCAUGCGCUUGCCCCUCGGUAUCACACCUUCUCUUUGCUGAUGAUAGCCUUUUCUUUUGUAAGGCAGAACCCUGUGAAUAUGAAGAAGUUAUGAAAGUAGUCACGAAAUAUGGGAAAGCAUCAGGACAAUGUAUUAACUUUCAUAAAUCCUCAUUACUCUUUGGUAAGAGGAUUUUUGCUAAUGAUCGACAGCUGAUUAAAGAUACACUUGGUAUCCAAAAUGAAGGGGGGGAUGGGAUCCUACUUAGGAAUUCCAGAGGAUAUUAGUGGAUCUAAGUGUAGGCUAUUUGUGUUCUUGAAAGAAAAACUACUACACAGAGUGAAUGGAUGGACAGGUAGAUAUGGCUAUCAAAAGGUGGAAAAGAAGUUCUAAUAAAAUCUAUCCUGUUAGCUCUUCCGACAUAUGUCAUGUUCAGUUUCUACUCCCUUUGGAGAUAUGUGAAAACCUUGCGAGUGCCAUCGCACAAUUCUGGUGGAGUUCAAAUCCACCAAAGCAUGGGAUCCACUGGGCUAAAUGGGAGAAGAUGUGUGCCCCUAGAGAGGAGGGAGGUAUUGGUUUUCGCAUGAUCCACGAAUUUAACCUUGCCCUUCUGGCGAAACAGCUUUGGCGUCUUGUACUAUUCCCAGAUUCACUAGUGGCGAGAGUUCUUCGGGGAAGAUACUAUCGAUUGAGUUUGCCUUUGCGAAUCGGUGCAGUGGAUAGUCCAUCGUAUGUGUGAAUGAGUUUCAUACCGGCAAGAAAACUUUUACUCUUGGGCAUCAUGAGUAAAGUGCACCCAAAUUAAUGUUUGGCAAGAUCCAUGGAUUCCUUCGAUUCCAGCAAGACCGGCGUGCCCAGAGCCCCAUUAGUUAAUCCAGAGAUGUUAGUCAGUAAUCUUAUCGAUUUUGAAUCAAAGGAGUGGGAUACUCUAAUACUAGAUCAAUAUGUAGAACGAGAGGAUAUAUCUAUUAUUCAGAGUCUGGCCAUAAGCCCUACUCAUCGACGCGAUAAUUCUCCACUCAUGAAAGACUGUGUAUGCAAUGUUCUCCAUUCAUGAAAGACUAAACUGUGUUAAUAAUUUGAUUGAUAUAGUUUGUGGUGUUGGAGACUUAUUGUUUGUUUGUUUUUAAUUUGUUACUUGUACUGUUGAGAUUACAUUAAUUAUAUUAAGGUUAUCGAGAGUACUUUUGUUUCUGAAUAUAUUUUCUCCAGUCUGGUAGUGUAAGUUAUGUAUAUUAAGUAAUAUUAUUUUAUUCUUAUUAUGUUGAUUAUAUGCUUUUUUUUUUAAUUUUAAACUUGUUGCUUUUAUCGGACCUUUAAAACAAAUACAUGAAGACUUGUAGAAAUAACUAUAAAAUGAGUGACAAUUAGUAUUUGGGCUAUAAUGGCUUUUAAACGAAUAUAUGUAUUUUUCAUAAGAAGACAAUAGCAUUGGUCUGUUGACAUUGAGCAUGUAAGCUAUUUUCAUAAGACAAGAGGAGUGAGCAAGUGGAGAUGUUCUUGCCUCCUUUGUGUCUGUUGGGAUUGUGUCUUGUAUCUCCUGGUGUGACGGUGUUUGUUUCUCUUUUGUUUGAUGGGUAAUAUGUAAACAAAAAUCAUUGUUAUUUGUAUUUAUCAGAGUUUGUAACUUACUCUGCUUUUUUGUUUAGGUAAUUUUACUGAUCUUGGUAGUUUGUAAAUUGUUAAACAGCUGGCCGUUUAGUUUGUAUUUGUUUAGUUGUCUCAAUGUAUGUGUCGUUGAGUUUUUGUUGAGUUUGAUUGGUUUGGUAUACUUAUUUUGAAGUUUAUUUGUAAGACUAGACAAAAAGAGAGGUGAUCAUUAAUGAUGCAUCUUUUUGAGAUUCUAGUUUUUGGUGUUUUGAUUGUUUGAGUUAUUGUGAUUUCUUUUAAGCUGUAAAAUAAAGAUUUAUGUAAAAUUAGAUUGAUAAGAAAGGGAGAUAAAUAGACAACCACAAAUCUUGGGUAUGAAAUAUUUUUUAUUAUUGAUGUUAGCACAAUAUAGACAAUAAUAUAAAGGAAAUUAUGUGUUGAUUUUUUCUUAGGGAUCAAUGAAGAGACGAAUAACGACUCGAGCUGUUUCUUUGGUGAGAUUAGUGCCGUGGACAUAACAUAUUUGCCCAACCACAUCUGCGAGUUUAAAUAUCAGUUAUGAUAUCAAAACAUAAUAUCAACCCAGAUGCAACAUGAUAAUAUACUUGGGAGUUCUAGGUUUGUGUUCGCAAUCACUUGGAGAUUGUCGAACAGUCUAAUCUUAACUGGAGAUAGAUCUCCAGAGCACCCGUGAUGACUUCAACAAUAAUGGUUAGUGAGAUAAAACAAAUUAGGAAUGGAUGAUCAGUUAUCUUGUACAUGCUUGAGCACCUAGCAACCUCAAAACGAUAGACUUUCACAAUGGAACCUGCUUUCAAAAGAUGACAUGUAAGGAUUAGCACGUCCGACGGGAGUAAACCUAUGAAUCACGGAAUCUGCAAAUAAUAUUAUUCAACAAAGAAUCAGGAAAUCAAUUAAAACAGUUAUGUUAAAUAAGUGUGAUAGAUCGAAGAUUAACUUACGUUUUCAUCAAGGAAGAGAACCGUGAUUCCGACAAACUCCCUGUCUUUCUUGAAGUUCAUGGAUCCCAGAAGCGAGGAAGUCAGAGGCUAUGCUCUGACUUCUACGACCAAGACGGAGAUAAUCGAAGGUUGCAUGACGGACGCCGGAACGCCGGUUUGACGAACUGGAGAGGCAGAGAAAAACAUUUUCUAGAAGAUGGUUAAAUCUAAGAGGAAUCAAUGAGUUUUGUGCAUAUGCAGAUUGGGUCAUCAAAGAUGAGAAUCAUAUAUGGGGUUUACAGAGGGGCUACAAAUCAGGAACAUUUAUGAUCAAAUGAUUUAAGAUGUGGACAUGAAGAGUUCACCGGUGAAAGAAUAUAUUACGAACAGAUAAAGGCCCAACUUUGUAACUCAGACUUGUUUGAGACAAUGAUGAAAAGAACUUAAACUCAUGUUAAACGACAACAGUUUACAAUAUGGGAAAACUAGAUUAUGGGGGAGAAAAUUUUAAUUUUUCUCGGUUUAUUUAAUUAUGGGGGAGUGAGAGAUAAAACAAUGUUCCUGGUUUUUGUGGUUUUGGUUUUAUGUUUAUCUCUAACUCUUGAACUUGCAUAUUUUGAACCUUCAUUUCAGUUUAAUGCACAUAUUAUUCAGGAUAUAUGUGUUCGAAUGUGUGUGGUUGUUUGAGUGGAUCUGUGCAGGUACUUGAGAGGAAUCCAAACUAAAAGGGGGAGAUUGUAGAUGCAAAGAUCAGAUAGAUGUUCUGAUACAGACGCAAGUACAUCAGUGAAUAGAGCAGAGUCUGUAACAGUGAAGUGUACGUGCGGAUGAACAAGUCAAGAUGAAGAUUGCGACUUAAGGAAUGGAAUGCGGACCAAGGCGAAGUUAAUACGAAGACAUCUUGGGGAGCAAGCUUGAAGAGAUUCACCUUGGAGAAGGGAGAUCUCACGAUGGGAAGUUUCUUAAAGACUUUGGACAGGUUUUAGGGUUGCCUUAUUUGGGUAGAUAGUGAAUAUUGGAUAGAUAGGCGUGGAUAGCCGACUUGGCUGUAUUGUAUAUAUAGUCAUACUCGACAUGUGGAUUAGGGUUGUCGAGAGAAUUGUAUUCUUAGCAUAAAAGUGGAGUUCACUAAGCUUGUAAGCGAGUGAAUAACACUAAGGGCUAAGGGGUAGAGGUUCUAGAGAUCUUGUAUUCGAUCUUAGGACGUGUGAGGCUAGGGGAGCAAGUCAAGAAGGGUCUUGAUCUUGUUCGGGUUCUGUUUAAAGAGAGACUUGUAAGUUCACUUUAAAAGAAUACUAGUAAUAGCACAUAUCUUUGUAAAGAUAUUUUCUGGUGUACUCUCUGCUUUACUUUGUGGGUUAGUUCUUGCAUUUACAUUGGCCACCUCUAGUAAUAACUCAUACGGUUAAACUCUUAUAUACUUUUGUUUUAAAUCUAUUUGUUUUUACUGAGACAAAUAAUAAAUAAUUAAAAAUAAUAAUGCUUUACAUAAUUAGAAGUUUACAUGUUACUUUAUUCAUAUUUCGGUGGUUAUCACUUCUGAGUGUAAUAUUAUUCUUUCUCAAUAUUUAUCUCAAAUUUGUGUUUAGUCUAUAAAUAUUUUAAGUUUGUAUAGUAAUGCUUUUAUCUUCGUUUGAAAAUCAAUUAAAAAUAUUGAGUUACUUAAUUAUUUUAUCUAUGCAAAACAAUUACAAAGGCCAUUUUAAAAUAUUUUUUCUUAUUUUCAAAUUUGUUUAUACUUUUUCCUAGCAUAAAUAGAAAUUUGUUAUAGUUUAGAACUAUUUUUUUGCUAAUUUAAUUAUUAGUUGUUUGUAAUGUAAUGAUGCUGUUUUUUUGUCAACAAUAAUAUUAUUUAAUAAUUUUGAUGUAUUUUUGAAAAAUGAUUUUCUUUUUUUCUUUUUUGUUUCGGGCAGCUAUAAAAGCUCGCAUGACUCUGAUGGAAAUAAAUAAAUCCCAUACAACUAUCAUAAGCAGAUUUGAAAUUCGGACUAUGCAAACAAAUUGUAAGAAAUUUCGGAUCUUACUAAUCUUUCCUACUUGUUUAGUUAAUCCGAGUAAGUAACAAUUAAAGAUCACAUUCGCCAUCCAAUAUCGAUUUACUGUAGACUAUGAAGCGCUUGAAAGGAAGGAGAGAUAAAGUGAAGAAGAUCCUAACCUGAGGAACUCCUUUACCAGAGCAAACCUUCUUCACAAGAAAGAUUGGUUGAAAUGGAAAUAAUUUGCCUUUUGGUCUCAGUACCUGCAUGAAAUGAGGAGGAAUCAUCCUGUUCAGAUUGAUCAAACAAUCCACCAAGUAUUGGGAUUGUCUAAUCCAAUGCAGGCCGUUGCAGAGAGAGAGAGAGGAAGAAACACUUCAAAGACCCUUGCACCUAGCACAUUCUGGCGCUUUAUAAAAACUAGAGAGAAUUUCUUUACAAUCGCCCAAAAAAAAACCACAAAUUACAAAACAGAUUGCAGACACGGAGAACACACAAAGAAGACACAUGAAUGCACUGUGCAGAUCAGUUAAUGAACUCACUAGAAGAUAACACCGAAGAAUUGAAAAGUCUGACAACCCAUCCCGCUCACUCGGAACCCAGCACACAGCCUUGCAUGGCACCGACCCUAACCCCUCAUCGUGGGAGGAAACGCAUCCACAUCCACCGGAAGGUUAUUUGUGCGCUUGGCGUUACUCGAUCCCAAGACUUCACCCUUUAACAACACUCCUCUAGGAUGAGUUGUCACCAAUUGAUCUGCAGAUCAAUUGGUGAAAACUCAUCCUAGAGGAGUGUUGUUAAGCGACUUUUUUUUGUGACAACCCGUCCCGCUCACUCAAAACCCAGCUCACAGCCCUGUAGGGCACCGAACCUAACCCCUCACCGUGGGAAAAAAUGCCUCCACAUCCAACGGUAGGUUAUUGGUGCGCUUGGCGUUACUUGUGAGUGAGGCCAAAUAACGGGGAAAGUCAAGCAUGAUUGGGCUGGAGUAGUGAAAGUAUCACACCCAUAUCUUGCUUAACAGAGACGGCAUGAAUUCACAUUGCCUUCAUCAACAAGAAACACUCAAAAGGCCAAUGCAAAUCUCAUUCCCAAGGAUCGAAUCCAAAUGUCUUACAAAAUUGUACUAAAACGAAUAGGAAACGCUUAAAACCAAAUCACCAAGUCUUAAAAUGAAAUAACUUAAAUAAAACCAAACAACCCGAAAACCAGCACCACACCGAGAUGACCACUCCUGCACUUCCUCGAACUCACCUGAAAAAGAAAGGAUGGGUGAGUAUUUCGACAAAUACUCAGUGAGGGAAGCUCUAGGAGACCCGAAAUCAAUCACCAACAAUCAUCACACAACAUAGCUUAAGCAUGUAACUUAAACAUUCAGUAAAUCGAAAGCAAACAACAAGAAACGAGGAUAAACCCCGACGGUGCCAACAUGAGACUAACGCCACAUCACGCUGUCUCCACGCCUCUCAUGUUGUCGUGUGAGAACUUGCCACAUCACGCUGUCUCCGUGAGUUCCACACCUUCACGCGAUCACGCCACAUCACGCUGUCUCCACGUGAUCCGGGCCACCACAUUCACGCGGUCACGCCACAUCACGCUGUCUCCACGUGAUCCGUGUUACUACAUUUUUACUUCACAUACAGGCACGGCGCAUGUCCUCUCUGGCGAUGAAUCAUGCCAACUCAAACGAUUGCCACAUGACCCAACAAGAAACGAUGUAACGCCCGAGACAUACAUAUAUGUCAUUCCACCACGUUACACCGGCACACAUAGGCCUUAAGCCUUUCUCUAACUCAUUUACAUCUCCCAAUUAUAUAGAUAUCAUACUCUUAUACAAUAACCCAAACCAAUACAAUCAUCACAUUCAAUCCUCAAACAUCAUUCAACCAUAUUUUAACAAUCUUAGCAAUAGAUCUAUGUUUUUCACACAUCAAGCAUCAAGAUAUUUAUAUAUAUCAUAUGUAUAUUUAUUUAUAUUAGUAGAUCUAUAGAAAGUAACAAGUAUGGAUGAAUGAUCAACCUAGACACUUCUACCAUGAUGAGAUAAUGAUAGAAGGAGAUAGAGAUUGCAACAAGCCCUCACCUUAGCCUAGAUCUGCGAUAUGAGAGAGUUGAUGUAGAUCUGAGUUCUACGGGUCCUUACUAACCAGAUCUACAAGAACAAGGGUUGGUUUCCACCCAAACCCUAGAUCACAGAUCAAGAAGAAGAAAGAGAUAGGAGAGAUCUAAAAGAGAGUGUUUAGGGUUUCCUUACCCUCACUAGUUGCUGGAUCUAGAAGAAAAAGAGUAGAAGACUCAAGGAAACGACGAGAAGGAAUCGAAACACGGCGAGAUCUCCUCUUCGGUGAGAUUACACGGUCGCUGGCGGUGCUACGGUGACUCGCGGUGGCUCCGGUGGUGGUUUGGUAGCCGGCGGCUCCUCUCUCUCCAACUGGGCAGGGCUUCGCUAGGUCUUGAGUCUCUGGAGAAAAUCUUAGGGGCUGCCUCCUUUUUAUAGAAGAGGAAGGGGAAAACCCUAGGGUUUUCUCUACAUGGGCCAAAUCAUCACGGGCCUUGUCACUAAAAAUUGGGCUCGGACCCGGGAUGUGACAGAAAGGAUAGGUGACCUAUCGGGAAGUGAUUUGCGAAACCAUGUGAGUGAGGCCAAAGCACGGAAAAGUUCAGGUGGUGAUUCCACGGUCAGUAAACAAUGAUUUCGAGGCUUUGAAAAAAUUUACAAACCGACUAUUGAAACGGGAUGGGGUCCACGGGCCAAGAGAGCAGGCGUGGGUGACCCAUAAGCCGUGGGUGGUUGGGGCAUUACAAGUGGUAUCAGAGCUGGUUAGCCAUCUCGGUUCUGACCUGAGAGGCGUCUUGAGACCUGUCGUGGGACGCAACGAGGACGUUGCAUAAUUGUAGCAUCCCUAGUUGUGAUAUAUGGAAAGGCUUAAGAGAAUUUAUUUGGCUACCCAUGUCACCAGAGGUGACUUACCUUUUCCGUAACACAUCCGUUUAGAACUCAUGGGUUAAACAUACUUGGGCUGGAGUAGUGAAAUGAUGGGUGACCUAUCGGGAAGUGAUUCGCGGUACCGUGUGAGUGAGACGAAAGUACAUUGGAAGGUCAGGUGGUGAUUGCAUGGUCAGUAAACAAUGAUUUUGAGCCUUUUUAAAAAAAUUAUGAACCAACUGUUGGAACGAGAUGGGGCCCACAUGCCGAGAGAGCGGGCGUGGAUGACCCAUUAACCAUGGGGUCGGGGUGUUAUAAGCAUAUAACUCCCGAGUAAGCCGGAUUCCGAGUGAGCGGGAUGGGCUGUCACAUAAAAGUCGACUUUUAAUGUGACAACCCGUCCCACUCAGUAGGACCCCAAGCUCACAGCCCUGCAGGGCACCGCCCCUAACUCCUCACCGUGGGAGGAAACACCUCUACAUCCACCGGUAGGUUAUUGAUAUGAUCAAUUGGAGAUAUCUCGUCAUGUGGGAGUUUUGUUAAAUGGUGAGGUCUUGAGUUCGAAGAAUGCCAAGCGCACCAACAACCUAAUUAUGGAGUGAGAGAGAACUCAUAAUGGAGGGGUUGAGGUUGGUGCCCUGUCAGGCUGUGAGCCUGGGGUCCUAGUGAGUGGGACGGGUUGUCACAAAAAGUCGACUUUUUAUCUGACAACCCGUCCCGCUCACUCGGAACCCGGCUCACAGCCUUGCUGGGCACCGAUCCUAACCCCUCACCGUGGGAGGAAACACCUCCACAUCCACCGGUAGGUUAUUUGUUCGUUUGGCGUUUACUCGAACCCAAGACAUCAUCCUUUAACAACACUCCUACAUGAUGAGUUGUCACCAAUCUUUUAACAUUUCAAAAGUGCACAAAAUUUUCAUAGAAAUCUAGUUUAUGUUGGUUAUUUUAUUCCGGUUUGGAUUCUCAGUCGACAUCAAUUUGAAUAAUAGAAUAACAUUUUGAUGUUAUAAUGACAAAAACAAUUAAAUAAACAAUUAUGUUUAGCUUUCCUAAAAAUGUAUUCCGAACCUGAAUCCUUUUUCCUCCAAAAUGUCAUUUAAGUUUGGCAAAAUUUGAUAUAUUAUCAACUAUAUAAUUAUUAUCAUUGUCAGGAUCCUUAUGGCCGAGUUAAAGAGACAAAUUGGCACGCCAACACAUUUUAGAUUCGAUCCACCUACUGCGGCGAAACUAGAUCACGUUAUCAUGGAGAUUUACAUGAAUAUGGACAGUCCACUUGAUUAUGUAAAGAGAGAUACUAUCCAUGGGCUGCAUCUAUUUUGAAAAUUACUCUAAACUUUUACAAAAGUCUGAAUAUCCUAGAUUAAUAAAAUUGAAGUACUAUCAUGGUUAAUGGCAGUACUUCGUGUUUAUAAUUUUCAUCUGUUAAAUAUGUUAUUGCAAUAUCCUAUUCCCGAAUUAUUUUUCCAUUUCUUUAACAUAUGCUUCAAAUAGGUAUUCUAAUACGCAACCAUUCUUUAUCCUCCUUCGAUCGCUACUACGUGAUUUGAUACUUAGAAUGUACAUGUUGCAAAUAAAAUAUACAUGUCUACACUCGAUAACCGUUGUUAAUGCUCAUGUCAUCCACGCAUUUCUGAUUUCUCAAGCUUCCUUUACGUUUUUCUUUUCUGACGUCAAAAGGCCAUUUUAUUACUCAAGUUUGAGGUGGUCUGGGUAACCAGACCGGAAUAAAACAACCAAUAAAAUGUAACUUCCUGCAGAAAGAUCUAGCAGUUUUAGCUAAAAAAUCUGAAAUCUGAUUGCGCAUUCGUAGAACAUGAAUGAUGUUGAAAUCCGGGAAGCAUAUCUGUAACGUCUCUAUGCUUUCCAAUUCCAUCGCAAAUCUUGGCCAGACAUGAGGCUCUUUUAUCAUUGCAAUCAGGUCCUUACAAUCUAUCCCAAAACUCUGGCAUGUUGAAUGUUGAAGCAUGUUCUCCAUUGACGACCGCAGUGUUUCUACUUCUGAAUGCAAGGAUGAUUCGCGUCGAGUGAAGUUUCUUGUCCCCAUAAGUUGAAUGUUUCCACCACUGUCCAUCCAGACCUAUCCACAUCCACUAAAGUGAGCAGAGGCUGUCCAAGAUCCAUCUAACAAGCAAAUAUUACCCAAGUUUAUGACUUGGGGUUCCUCAGUAUUGUUAUCUUGUACCACUGGUUGUACCACUUCGUUCGCAUCAAACUAGGCUUGACAUUCACUUUCUGCAUGUCGAACUAGCACCAAAGGAUCUCUGUCUAUUCCCCUCAAAAUUUUGUCAUUCCUAGCCUUCCAAAUAUACCAGAUUAUCCAGGGAUAAGGAUUCAUGUCUUGUUCUGGCUCGAUAAUGUUUUUUUCUUCCAGAAUAGGUAAUCCAUAUUUGUGUAGACGCUUGGUACUAGAUAUAUAUAUGGGCUUAUUGGAGUUGAUGAUAAGGAUCAAACUUGUACAGCUGGUGGGCACUCGAAUAUGGCUUGGGUUACAAAUACUUCUAGUUCACCACAUCUUGGGCAGUAGUUAUCAUACCUCAUAUUGCAUCUUGCUAAGUUCCUCGUUACUGCCACAUGACCAGUUAACAAUUGCCAUAUAAGUGACAUAUCUUUUUAGGCGCCUUUAACUUCCAAGCAAAGGCUUGAAGCUUAGUGAUACUCGGCUCCAAGACCUCCUUCUCCUCCUCUGCCUUUAAUAAAUUAUGAGCCACCCAAUAUUCAGAUUUAACCGUGUAUUGGCCAUUCCUUGUGUAGUUCCAGCAGAAUGUAUCACGACGAUGAGUUGAGCUUAUGGCCAAACUCCUAAUAAGCGGUAUGUCAUCAAGAUUGACAUAGUUCUCCAAUAGACCAACAUCCCAAUCCUUUGAAACUUGAUUAAUGAAAGCGCUAACUCUCGGAUUAGGAUGCAUAACUGGCGCUACAGGGAUAGCUGAUCUCGCAGGAGUCGUUGGGAUUCACGGAUCCUCCCACACCUUGACUUCAUAACCUGAAUGUAUCUUAUGUCUGAUUCUCAGUAAUAACAACUUCCUUGCAGCUGAAAUGCUAGUCCACACAUACGAUGGACUGCUAGCAGAGUUUACUCUGAGUGGUGAACUCCAUCUAUAAUAUCUUCCCCUCAAGACCCGGGCAACCAAAGAGUCAGAGUCAAGAAACUGAACUAGACUCCAUAACUGUUUUGCCAUUAGCGCCAGAUUGAAUCAUGGAUCAUACGAAAACCAAUAUCUCCGUCCUCUCUUGGUAAGCAGACUUUUUCCCAUUUCGCCCAGUGUAUUCCUCUUUUUGGUGGAUUUGAAGCCCAACAGAAUUGAGCAAUGACACUUGCUAGAUUAUCACAUAUCUUCAAAGGGAGCAGGAAAGUAGACAUAACGUAAGUCAGAAGAGCUGGCAGAAUGGAUUUAAUUAACAAUUUCUUCCCUUUUUUUGAGAGCCAUCUACUUGUUUAUCCAUUCACUCUAUGCAUCAACGUAUCCUUGAGAAUUGCAAAAAAGUUUGCACUUGGAACCAUUCUUUCUUCGUUUUGUAUUCCAAGUGCAUCUUUAAUCUCUUGUCUAAUAUUUGUAUUUGUCCACUUACUAAAGAGUAAGGACGAUUUAUAAAAGUUGAUACACUGACCUGAUGUUUUACCAUACUUCCUGACUACUUACAUUAUUUUUUCACACUCACGGGAUCCUGUCUUACAGAAAAAAGACUAUCAUCAGCAAAGAGAAGGUGAAAUAUCUACGGACACGUGCGAAUAACGCGCAUCCCCGUUAUCUUCCUUUAUCUUUCUGCAUGAUUGAGAAGCUAGUGAGUGCCUCUUAAGCUAGUGCCUCUUCAAUAUUUUCUGGCUUAGAUAAUUCAAAGAUCUUUCUAAAGUAAUUAGUAGUAAUGAUUACUAAUCCAUUUUUAUCUUUAAUUAUAUUUUUAUUUACAUCUAAGAGCUGCGUGAUUUUAUUCUUUGUUCCGCUUUGUUAAGGUGAUUUGGAUGGAUAUUUUCAUCGACUCGUCGUAAACUAACUAUAGCCAAGCGUUAAUCUAAUCAAAUGAAAUCCAUUAGAAUAUUCGUAUUAUGAGUAGAGAUAGCCAAGCAAAUUUUGCACCUUCGUUGGUAGUUACUACGUGUUGCUAUGCUACUCUAUGCUUUACUUUCACUGAAUAUAUUUGUCUGUAUACGGCUGUUUAAAAUCUGUCGGCAAGGACUUUUCCAAGAGGAUCCAAUGAUGAUAACAGUUUCUAAUAAUAAAACAAUUAUAACCAAAAAAUGAAAUCCUAUAUCUAUACGUGUGUGACUGCGCUGUGUUUAAGACAUUGGUAAUAAACAAUCUAAAAAACUGGUGGGGUUGCCAUUAAUAGAUUUUGAAAUAUAUUCACAAAUGAAUACAACCCACCAUAUGGGGACCAAUGUAUUCAUACUUUCAUAAUCUCCUUAUUUACUUUAAUGUUUGACUGGAUUAGGUAGACUGCAAUGAUUUUAUCUCAAAGUGGUAAAGUGGUAAAGAGAUCAUUCUUAAAUCUGUGGGAAUGGCGUUACCGGUCUUCGCGAUGAGCUGCUUUAGGUUACCUAAAGAUUUGUGUGCAAAACUAACGAGCAUCAUGACGGAGUUUUGGUGGGGAGGCACAGCAGGAAAGAAGAAAAUCUCAUGGGUUGCUUGGCAAAGGUUAUGUAAGCCUAAAGAACUAGGUGGAAUGGGAUUCAAGGACAUAGCUUGGUUUAAUCAAGCCUUGCUAUGCAAGCAAGCCUGGAGAAUAUGGUCUAAUCCUCAGUCCUUGCUGGCCAGAGUCAUGAAAAGCAGAUAUUUCAGACAGGGAGACUUCUUGGACUGUUCUAUAGGCAGUAGACCAUCGUACGCGUGGAGAAGCAUAGUACAUGGACGUGAGCUAUUAGCGCAAGGGAUCUUGAAGCGUAUUGGGAAUGGGAGCGAGACGCAUGUUUGGUAUGAUAACUGGCUUCUCCUACCCACACCUAGGCCUCCGAGAUAUAGAACAGAUGAAGUAGACCUUACGCUCACUGUACACGAUCUUAUUGACUCGAGACAUGGAACUUGGGAUGCCCAGAAGAUCCGACAUCUUUUUGUUGAGGAAGAUGCUUCUGCGAUUUUGGGAAUGAAGUUAAAUCUUCAGAGGGAAGAUACAAUGGUCUGGGCUUUUAGCAAGAACGGAAUGUAUGAUUCCCAAAGCGGCUAUAAAUUACUGAAUCUCAUACAGACAAUUGAGAGACCAAUGUCAGCUUCGAAUUUACCUCCUGUUGAGAGAAACUUGUGGUCUAAUCUAUGGAAGGUGAAAACGCUACCUAAGGUUAGGCACUUCAUGUGGCGUGCUUUGGCUGGAGCCCUAGCGGUCUCGGAACGACUGGCUUCUCGAGGUAUCAAUGUUGAAACUACUUGUAAGGUAUGUCAAUCUCAACCGGAGACCAUCUGUCAUGUUCUUUUUCACUGCCCGGUUGCGAAAGAGGUAUGGAGAUUAUCAGGCUUUCCUAUCCCAGCAGCGGGUUUCUCAACCAACUCAGUCUUUCUCAAUUUUCAUCACUUGCUCGAAAGUUGCAAGAAACGUCAUUUACCUGAGAAGACUAGAUUGGUAUUCCCGUGGGUUCUCUGGCAAUUAUGGAAAUCUAGGAACCGCUGCGUGUUCGAAAAUGUAGUUUUUGGAGCUAAGGAAGUAUGGGAGAGAAUCCAAGUAGAGGCAGAAGCUUGGAGAGCGGCUAACGUGACGGACAGGGAAGAUAGGGAUCAAGAUGCAGCUGGUGAUUCUACAUCAACGUGGCAAAAACCGUGCCCAAGCUUUGUUAAGUGUAACAUUGGAUCGUCUUGGGUUGAUGGAAACCAGAAUUGUGGGGUUGCUUGGUUGACAAGGAAUCAUGCUGGAGCAGCCUUAGCCCAUAGCCGUCGCUCAUAUUCUCAUAUCUCAUCAUCUUUAGAGGCUGAGCUACUGGGUUUUUAUUGGGCAUCUGAAAGCGUCUCGACGAUGAGAUAUGAAAAGGUGGUGUUUGAGUCCACCUCGUACCUAGCGGGCGAAGCAAUUUUAAAGCCUGGAAACUUCCCUCAAUGGCUCAGUUUGAUAGAAGCUAUAAGAGAGAAAUUGUCCCUGCUCAGAUUGUGGUCCAUUUCAUAUGUUAACAGAGGGGCGAACAGAUGUGCCGAUGCAAUUGCUCUCAGUGUCACUAGAGACCAAUGCUACGCGUCCUACAUAGCUACGGACUGCCCUGGAUGGUUACUGCCCAUUGUACGUGAGGAUGAGAGUGGGAUAUUCAGUGCGCAUUAGUUGGGGUUGCGGCGGUGCGAAUUCAUGACAGGCUUGAGAUACUUCCUUCGCAACGGCGAGUUUUACGGGAGUGGAGUGCUGUUGUUUGAUUUAUGUUGUUCUUUUUUUAAUUUUGAGUGUGGAGCCCUGUUGGUAUCUUCCACACUCUUUGUUUUCUCGUAUCUUUCGUCUUCUCUUCUUGUUCGAACCUUCACGUUAUAGUCACAAAGUGUUAAAAAAAAGGUAGACUGCAAGAAAAGGAAAAAACUUCUUGGAUAAACAAUGGUUAUUCAACAUAACAAGUAAUAUUGAUUAAUAUAUCUGUAAAAAUAUAGCAUAUUAUUUCUUACAAAAUUUGAUUUCUAAAAAAUAUGUAUUUUUAACACGGGACAGACAUAGUUUAUAGGGAUAAGAAAAGUCGAAGAUUUGUGUGGGAACCGAAAUUCGUACUGUCGAUUUCCGUUUAAAUUAGGAAACUAGAGAAACCUUAAUUUUCUAGAGGUUCUGGAUCUCUGCGAGAGCCAACGACAAGUGAUCAAAUAUAUGCGGAAAUCAUGAAAAGAUAAUAAACGAGUUUAGAGAAAACAGUAUAUCUUAUUUCGAGUCUGCGUAAGAGCGUUGUGAUCAUUACAAGAGAUCAUAAAAGCUUUGGCCGCAAAGGCUGUCAGCGAGUUACUUAGUUCUAGCGGCCUAAAAGCUCAAACCUAGUUGAGUCGCAGCUCGAUAACAAAAGACAAAAAAGAUACAUAAAAGGUUUUUGAUUGAUUUCGGACUGAACCUUGUUAAAGGCUGCCUACGUACCCCUUUCGAAGAUCAAGCCGAACGUAUUUCAAUUGACAGAGCAGGACAAGAGAUCGAAAUGCCUGGGCGAGUUCGUCUAGUAAUUGAGUGCCAGUCAUAGAAACCUAACUUGUCAAGAAUAAAGCCUAAAGUUUCUAAGUGCAGAGAAUUCUUAGUCUAAAAGAGUUCCCCCCCCCCAUGCCUCUCGCCUAGGACUCCUUAUAUACUCGCUCCAAGAUCGGUUUACGCUUUUACUCUUCUGCCCUUAAGCCGUCAUGUAAUGAGGAGGAAUCAUCCUGUUCCGUAUUUAUCCGCGGAAACUUGACAUUUAUCUUCCCUUGCGAACCAAGCGUAAACCGUCCUACGGUUUACGGGCUUUUGGUUAAGAAAUCUUGAGAUGGGCCUCGAGUCGUGUCUUAGGUCCCUUAGGACCGUCUUCUGACUCGAAACGUUUAUCGCGACUUCUUUUGAUAAAGAAUGGACUUUCCGCGGUUUUUUCCGCAAAGUUUGAUAGAUGAUUUAGAAUGAUCGGAAAACAUGAGCUGAGUUCACCACGGUCUUCGGGAGAUAGUGUCGAAGGAUAUACGAGAAUGCAUGGAUUGGUGUCGUAUCGACAUUUUCAAAGAGCUCGGUCACUGCAUAGCAACCGAGCGGGACGGACGCUCGGUCGCUACGUAGCGACCGAGCUUUGGCAAGAGCUCGUUCGCUACGUAGCGACCGAGCUGUGUGCAUGCUUGGUCGCCGCGUAUCGAUCGAUCUUGGCUUGUCUGCGGUCCGAUUGUCAUACUCGAGCUUGUCCGCGGCCGAUUUGGAUACAUGUCCGUUGCCUUCGGACAAUCGUAUUUAGUGGUUCGAUUGAGAUUUGAACAAGAUUUUACCGCAAGGCUCUUCGUAACGAUAUCCUUACGAGGAUUACUUUUCGUAAAAAUGUUCAUGAUGAUUUUUACGGACUUUCAGAGAUUGAUUUCGUCGUGACUAAUUUUGACCCCAACAGUUAGCCCCCCACCUCGUUAGAACCAUGAGCUUCUAGCGUGAGGUUCUAGCGAGUGGCUUGGCAAGUUAGGCAAGUAAGGUGAGUUAGGCGGAAUUAAUGGUCAGAAAAGGUCAGUGAAAAGUGGUCUUCUCGCUCUUCUAAAAGUAGAACACGAUAAGAUUGGGGCUGCGCCUUAUGACGGCUGCCUAUGUACCCUUGUUGAAGGGAUCAGGCCUUUCGAAGUUCGUCUUGGAGUUAAGGUUCUUAUGACUAGUUUUCAAGCGAAACCUUUACGGUUUAGUUUUUAUGUAGCGGUUAUCAGGAGUGUUGCUGCCGAUGGCAUUUUGUAAGGGUAUUGAAGGAAGACUACGAGUUGUCAUCUCGUAAUCUAACUCUGUGUGAACUGCUAUAUCUGUAAUCUGUUUCGAGAGUUUUCCCUAGUGUGUAAACUUGCGGGAUUUCUGAAGAUUCUCGAAUAUUGGCAAAGAGAAAAAUUUUGGGAUCUCGUAUCAGGGUGUUUGAUACUAUGCCUAGAGAUGUUAGAGACCAGUGUGCUGGGUUUAGGGCAAGACCUAGGUUUACUCCUGGUUUUAGAGGGUGCGAUGACUAACUCGACUUACGUAUCCCAUUUUAGAGGGUGUGAUGACUAAUUUGACUUACUAAUUCCUGGCUAAGUUUGUUUAGGACGUUGAGAGCUUGUUGUGAUCAGCAACAAACUUAAUGGUAAAAAAUACUGUUUCGAGUCUUCGCGAAGGAUAUGUUUUGAGAAGAUGUUAGUGCGUAUGGCUGUCUGGUCUUCCAGGAAAAUGUUUUUAUCGAGGAAGGAAAUUUCGUCGAAGAACGAAUCUUCAGGCGUCUGCGACGUCUCGCGAUGCUGAAGAUUUGUUAUUCUUUCGUAUACCGCGUUUCGUGCUUGAAAUGUUUGCGGGCUUGAAGAUGUUUCGCGAUGUUGCAAGGGUUUAGUCUUAGCCUACCGUUUGAGAAACGUUCUUGUUUGACUACGGAUGUUCGCAGCAAAAAGUUUAGAUUUUCUGUUAACCGUUUGAUUGUUAGGACUUAGUUUUGUUACGAAGAAUUUUACAUAUGCUUUCCGACUGGCUUAUACGAUAAUUUAUCAUAUCAUAUAACCGGUUUUACGAAGGUUGUAAAUCAGUGAUAUGUAUACAUAUGUCAAAGUAGUGUUGUUUCUGCGGAUUUUACGAGAAACGUUUCUGCUGUGAUUUUGAUCUUAGACGAAAGUUGCUUGGAGUUACUCAUGGAGUGUUACCGAAGUUUAUUUCAAUACGAUCUAGUCGCAGAACGUUCUUCAUAGGUUUUUUGAGAGGAUUCUCAUGACACAUUCGUUUCUUGAACGAUUUGGUCAACCAGAGGUGGAUCUAGCUAACCAUCGGGAGGAAAGUGCUCCUUUUAAUGUGUACGAUGCUACAUUUAUUCUCGAGUUUUCUUCGUCGCAAAUGUUUUCGAUGCUUUUCCGUGACUUGCUCGGUUCAACGGAAACUGAAAGAAAUGCUUUGGUGAUUUUCUUGUAGAAAUUUUUAAACGAAGCUGGCUUUCUAAAGCCAGAAAGGGCUUCAAUACUUUGGCUAAUCGUCGAGUUUCAGUUUGAUAUUGGUACAGGUUUUCUGUAUGCAUGAUUGCGACAAGAAAUGAUGUAUAGUCUUUAAGAUUUAUGUUCAUGAUCGUCUGGAUAUGUUGCUAGCGUUUAGACGAAUAUUAGAUUGUCGUUUGCCUAUUCUUGAUGAUUUGCAGAAGUUUUUUUGAAGUUUGGGAGUAUACGAGUAUAGUAUACGUACCUACUCCCCCCCCCCCCCUUUUUUUUUAAACGAAAGAAAACGGUUGAACCGAUACGUUGAAGGGUUGUGUAAGUUUCUUCUUCUGAGGUUUAGAAUGAUCGAUAAUUUGGGACGAUUUAUAGACGACGCUUGGACUGUGAUUUGGUUGUUUCCACGUUAACGACUUGGAAUAUGUUGGUUCCGAGAAAAUUACCAGAAACGAAUCGGUUUUAAGACGACAUUCAUGUCUCUAGUUUUUUCUCUCUUUAGGAAGCGAGCUUGAUAUGCAUGGCGAUCGUUUCUCGAUUUUCGGAGAGUUUAGAUCGGUUUGCAAGAUCUGAAUGAACAAUCAUUGAACAAUAUAUCGAGACAGGAAAAAUCGCUUAAGACUUUGUUCGUUAGACUAUCCCCCUAGGUUUUACGUUCCCUAAAGUUCUAUGGCAGCCUCAAAGUAAUUUCCUACAAAAAUUCCAAGUCUGAUUUCACAAAUUUCAAGUCGGAAGUACCUUAGUUCCUUCGAAGAUGCAGUUUUGUCUCUUCUCAGUUUUGCUUGCUCAUUUUCCUUUCCUCUUCUCGUGUAUGUUCGCCAUUUCCGAUAUUGGUAUUUAUCCUUUGAAACUUGACAUUUAUAUUCCGAACUUGACUGUUAUCUUCUCCUUAGAUACGACGUCAAUUUUUGUAAAAAGGUUCAACGUAAUCGUAUAGUUAAGGCGGCUAAGGUGUUAAGUUAACUGUUGUCGUUUUAUACGAUUAAUCUGAAUCCAUGCGAGAAAACAAGUCUUUGCGGGUUUUUUAUAUCAUAAAGUUUGAAUGGUAACUUCAAUCGAGGCGAAACAAGAGAUGUUCCGAUCGAGAUUCGAAAGUGAACGCAAAGAUGGAGGUAGGGCGAGCAGUAACAAGCCAAGGAGUUUAAGAUGAGUUUUACUUGUUUUCUUCGUAAAAUCUCAACGAAAACUCCGAUGGAGACAAAACGAAAAGCGUUUCGAUGAGGAUUCAAAGGAGAACGCAAAGGAGGACCCCUUUGAGGCCUGAUAGGUCGCUAUAGCGAGUGAGGAUGUCAUCUUGGUCGCUAUAGCAAGUGGAAGGGAGCCAAGACGAGUCCAACUUGUUUUCGUUGUAAGAUCUCAACGGAAACUCUGAUUGAGACGAAACGAAAAGCGUUUCGAUGAAGAUUCAAAGGAGAACGCAAAGGAGGACCCACAGCUUCUUCAAAAUUUUAAGUGUUGAAGUUUUCCUCCCUAGUUGUGUCUAGAGCCAUCUGAUAAAUCAAAUUGGUGCUUCUGAAGAAGGUACCUAGCAGUUGUACCUUGUUAAACCCAUGGUGUGGACAGUCUCUAUGAUAUGACUUGAAUCAUAUCAAGAGCUCUUGAAAGACUCUAUAGGCUCUUGAGUGAAAGUAUCAAUCUUGUUAUUCCAGUAUUCGGGUCGUGCAUUAUCAAAAAUAUUAUGCAGGAAGGCGUUUGUUAUGGCUGUCUAGGAUGUAAGAGAUCUUGGUGGUAACUGCUUAAGCCAAUAGGAAGCAUAUCUAGCAAGUAAGUACUUGAAGAAAUUGCAAAGAAGGUAGUCAUCAGGGACUCCAUUGACUUUGAUAGCAGAUACUAAAUCCUUGAACCGUUCCAGAUGAUCCAUAUAAUGCUCUCAUGUGGGAGUCCAUGAUAAGGAUGCUGUCCCAUGAGUGCAAGGUAAGCAGGCUUCAGCUUGAAAUUGUGCCUUUGGAAAGUAGGAGAACGAAUUGCAGACAUGUUGGCUAGUAGUGAUUUGGACGGUUGUAAUCAGCCAACAUUCUGGAUGGAGCGGCCUGGACAUUCUCAGCAACUGCAGCCGGAGCGAUGGCUGCAUCUCAGCAUCAGGAUCUUCUAAAGAAGCUUCUUUUGAAUCAGGGAUUACACCCCGUAAUCAUCUAGUCUUUGACCUGCUGCAUUAGCAAAUGACACUCAUAGCAAUGCAGGUCUCCAUUCGCAUUAUGUAUCAGUACAAGAGUCACGGCCAUGUCACUUGCUUGCGGGUAGGUGCCAUUCGGUGUUAGAGUAGUGGAUGUCGUUGCUUGCUCACAAGUGGUGUCAAUCGAUGAAGAAGAGUUGUGGAUCGAUGUUGGUUGCUUCUCUGUGACACCCGGUUUUCUCGAAAUAAUAUAAAUGCAAAAAUAGCAUAAUAAUAAAUACUGAAAUAAUAAUAAUAAACUCUAGAUAAUAUAUCGGAUCAAAUACAAUAUCAUAAAGUUCAAACCGCAAAUACCGCUAUCAUCAUAAAUCCAAAAUAAACGACAACAUAAAUCCGAAAUUUUGAAAUAGGAAUAACAUAAACGAAAAAAGUCCAAAGGCCUAAAAGCCCGAUAACGGUAAAAGCGAUAAAAGCGAUAGAAGCCCAAAAGCCCAAUAGCACCAGUCCGAUAAUAACUCCUGCUCAUCGGUCAGAGUGAGGGGUGAGCGACAGGGUAAUCACCCAAUGAGGUAUGAGAUGCUACCCUAAAGUCCAUGGACCCGGACAUAGCAAUCCAAAUAAAUAUAAUUUAAUUCUAAUACAUGUCAAACACGGCACCUAAAGUACCCAAACAACAAAAAAUGGUUCCAGCGAGGCGCGCACUCGCUGCCCACUAAAAGGCCAAAAACAUAACACAGCUCGAGAUAGUGCUCGGACACCGCCCAUGGACGAUUUAUCGACCCUUCCAGGCUACAGCUCAACCGGUCGACUAUAGUUGGCCAUAACCUCAUACGAUCCGGCAUACAUAAGUCCGUCUCUGUAUCCGUCUCCACACAAAAACAAUCCUAGCUAAGCAUUUACAUUAAGUGAAACAAUCCAUGUUGAAUCCUCUAACCACCUAAUUCCGAUUUAAGCAAAGAACCUAAUAACUAAAUAAGCAAUGACAGACUCGAUUUCAAGCAGAUAGAACAUAUUAGAAAUAAGUUAUACUUAUUCGAGGUCCUAAGCCGUAUACGAGAAGUUCGGGAAUAGACCCUCACCUGAGCAGUAGGGAAAUGUGGUAUCUAUGAACUCCAGCUGCUCAAAUAGACUCUAAAUCUGAAAUCAGGGCGAAAUUCUGAGUCAGAACGGCUUUCGAACGGUUUAAAACGGGUCUGGUUAAAGUUUACCAAAAAGUCAAUCCGCAGGUCAAAGGUCAACCUGGUCAACUCUGACCCAAGCCGGUCAACCCUUAACCAAAUUGAAAUCAAAUUGAACCGACCGGUUUAACUCAGCCGAUUUUGAUUUUUAAUUGAACCAGAUCCUAAUUAAUUGCAAACCGGUUUACUUCUAUCCAAAAUCAAUUUCCAAUAACCAACCGGUUUAACCUAACCAACCCAAAAUCGAUUUAAACCAGUCAAACCACCAGUUGACUGAGUCACCGAGUUGUCUCAUCGGACUCGGCCUAGUUACCGGCAAGUCACCGGCGACGAUCACCGGUGGUGACGGCGGCGACGGCGGAGGGUGGCAGCGGCGACGGCGGAGGGUGGCGGCGGUUUACCGGGAAAUCGCCGACGGCAGCGGAGAAGCGGCGAUACAGUGGUAGCUUCUCGGCGGCAGACGGACGGUGGCCGGGCACGACGGCUCCGGGGAACGAUGGUCGGAGACGGUGGCGAGUGGCCGGAAUGCGUGGCGGCUCCGGCGGACUCUGAUCGUGGCGCAACUUCGGGAUGCUCUAGCGGCUUCGUCCGGGCUCCGAUCACGGUGUGGUUGGUGUCUAUGGCUUCGUCUCGACAAGAGGAACACAAUGGUGGUCUUGCAUGCAGCUGAAGCUAAACGGAAGUUAUGAAGCUAAUGGUUAGGAAGUUAUGGGCGAUUUACUAAACAGACCCGAAACUGAAGCUAAUGCAUGUGGUUUCCGGUGUUACCUUGGGCGGUUAACGGUGGUGGCGUGCUCGACACAGUCACGGCGUGAGAAGGCUCCGACGAACCCAGUGGUGGCUCAGGUUCUGUAACAAUUCCUCAUUUCUCCCAUUAACUUCUUCUCUCUAAACUUUUUUUGAUGAUUUUUGGUGAAGAAAACAAAGUAGAGUGCUGAGUUUUUAUAGAAAAUAUCAUGGGCUUCUGGGGAUGGGUUUGGGCCUCGAUCUGAAUUUAUUGGACCAGAAUGUGGAUCAUUAUAUUCUCCUUACGCAUGGCACGCUCAAGCUUAACAAGAUCUAAAGCUGAAAAAUAGGAAAUAACCUAAAUAGAAUAUAGUGAGAACACAUUUUUCAUAACAGUUAAAUGAAUUAAGUAAACCCAUCUUAAAUAUUUAACAAAAUAACUUCUUUUCACUUUCUACUUAAUUAUUUUUCAAACUCCUCAUCCAAGAAGUUCUUCUAGAAAACAUUUUAGGGUAAUUAUUGAAUUAACCGAUUAGUAAGUUUAUAGGAUUUCAUUUUCCCCCAAAAUCAUCAGUUAUAUUGUAUUUAACAUUAACAGAAAUAAUUUGAAAUCCAAAGUUAUUGAGUUCAUAAUUUGUAUUAGUUCUUCAAAAUUCUAACUUAUUGGAAAUAUAGAUUUAGUCAUUAAGAUCUAUCAAAUAAGAAUUGGUGGAAUUAUAAAAAUAACUUAUAUGGUUAAAAGUUAAUGAAUAAAAAUAUCACUUCCUAUGAUGAUGUUAUUUGAAAUUUCUUACAAAAUAAAUUCUUCUUUAUUUUUCACUUUUACAUAAAAAUAAAAAAAUGAAAUCAGAUAAAUAAAGUUUAUUUGAAAUAUUAUUUUGUAUAUUUAUAUAUUUUAUAUAAAUUAAUAAGUAAUAAAAAUAAAAUUUUAAAGAAUAUUAAUUUUCAUUAAAAUAAAAUUCAAAGGUUUAAAUAUUUUUUUAAAUAUUAUAAAAUUGAUUUAAAUCUUUUUAAAGAAACUGUAAUAAUUUUUCAACAUUUUAUCUUAAUUUUAGAUUUUCUGGAACUUAGUAGGUGUUCAAAUUCUAUAAAGUUCCAAAUCCAAUGUUGUGAUAAAUUCUGCCUCUUUUUUCUUUUAAUUAAAAAAUUAAAUUAUUUUUAUUGAAUUUUGUUAUUUGGCUUUUCUCAUCCGCUGCUCCUCUUUAUCUUUAAAUAGAGAUCAUGCAGACUGACAUUUUAUUCAUCAUUUGUUUUUCGACAAAGAGAGUGUUAUAACUUAAAUUCGGUUAAAGAAAAUGGCUUCAAAGACUUUGAUUAUGCUGGGUGUCUUUGCAAUUCUUCUCGUUGUGUCAGAAAUGGCCGCAGCAUCUGCACAGAAGUCGGGUACGUAAAAUUAUUAUUCUAUAUAAAAAUAAAAGUAGUUCCAAAGGCUGUGGUGCUAAAGUACUAUUUCAUAAUUUCAUCAUACCAUUUCGUCCGUUUUAAGUCCAGAAAGUUUGUUUGAAUAAAUGCUGGUUAAUUAUUUGGACUUGCCUAAGUCAAAACACAUUUAAGUAUGAUGUUGUUAUCUACCCCUCCGUUUUUUUAAUAUAAGUCGUUUUAGAAAUUUUUAUGUUCCAAAUAUAUGAAUUUUUCGAUUUUCUAUGUAAAAUUUAUUAAAACUUAGUUUUAUAUGACUAAUGAUAAUAUACUUUCUAUUUUAUUAUUGACUGAUUCGUGGUUAGGUAAAUAAUUAAUGAUGUUUUUUUUAAGAAAAUAUAAAAAACAAUAUUUUUUUAAUCUGUAUGCAUAAUUUUAAAACGACUUAUAUUAAAAAGUGAGGGAAUAUUUGUCUAGUAAGAAAAACGAUAUGUGUAGCUAUGCGGUGUGAAUAUCUAACUCCUCCGUAGAGGAACCGGGUUUGUCUUUCCCUGGUAGGCUCUCCAGGAGAUUAGCCCAGUUUUAUUAAAAAAGAAAAAAAGAAGACGAUAUGUAUGAUAUUGAAACCUUUUAUACGUAUCAGGCCAACUCAAACCAUUUAGAUGUUCGGUGCAAAUUUUAUAUUGAAGGUAUAUAAUGAUGCGAUUUAUCUUUUUUGACCGAGAUCCGAAAUUAUAUAUAUUUGAAUAGUUUUAAGCGAAAUUUAUUUCAAAAAUCGGGGAGUGGAAUGCACAUAUGCACGUGCUAAAAGAUAUCUUUGAAAUAAUAUUGAGGUGCUUUGUUUUGGAUAUGUACGGUGAAAACAGAGAGUGAGGAAACUGUGCAACCUGAUCGAUAUGGUGGUGGCCAUGGCGGAAAUGAAGGUUACAACGGACGAGGAGGAUAUAACAGAGGAGGACACAACGGAGGUGGAGGAUACAAGGGAGGUGGAGGAUAUAACGGGCGAGGAGGAUACAACGGCGGUGGAGGAUACAACGGAGGAAGAGGUGGCCACGGGGGACACGUAGGAAGAGGAGGCCACGGCGGACACGGUCCAGAAGCUGUUCAGACUCAGCCUGGCAACUAAAUCUAUAAAUACUUUAACAACCAUGGAUGAUUUCAUCUAUGUAUACACACAGUCCUGUAUACACCUGUGACAUGUAUGUGUAUGACUAUAAUUAAAACCAUGGUGAGUUUGUAAAAGUUACUUCAGUCAAAUAAAAGAAAUUAGGUGAAUAAAGUUUCGUAAUGUAAUGUAUCUAUGUUCGAGUUGUAAUAUGUACUCUUUGCAAAAAUAAAAUCGUUUGUAGUUUAUGUUGGGAAUUUUUUACCAAAAAAUAUAUAAAAUGGCUGAAAAAAAUUCUUGUUUGGAGACUUUCCUCUUUUAUUUAUUUAAAUUACUUUCCUCUACAAGUAUCAGAGGUGGUGUUUGCAACUGACUGCUCUCAAUUGGUGAAUAUGGUGUCUACACCGACAGAAUGGCCAGCAUUCACUACACAUAUGGAGGAGUUUCUGCGAUGUAAGGAAUUCUUUCUCAACUUUUCAAUCCAACAUAUUCCAAGGGCGCAAAAUACACUGGCGGACAGGCUGGCACGAGGUGCUAGGACUUCGCCAUCUACUAUGGUUUAUGUUGAUUCAGUUCCCCCGAGGUGUCUCUCGGAUCAGGGAUCCUUCUAGUUUCUUAGCCUUUUGUUGUAAAAAAAAAAAAAGAAUAACAAAAACAAUUUGACACUACCUUUCUAACUAAUUAUUAACCGAACCACAAACAAUUAGAUCCAGACUACCAAUCUAAUCAAGAUCCAUUUAUGGAGAUGAUUGUUUGUUUGGUUUCAAGAUUUUUAAUUUUUGAUUUUUGUUUUUAGUUGUUGGUUUUUUUAUUUUAGAUUUGGAUUUUUUUUUUAAUUUUGCAUUAUAUUUUAAAUUUUUGAAAACCAUGAAUUAUGAUUUUAUAUUUUGGUUAAUUUUUGUUUUUGAUUUUUGCUUAUAAAAUAAUGAAAUGAAAAUAUUAUCAAUAGUAAAAUAUUUAUUGUGAUAUAAUAAAAUAUAAUAUCAUUACCAAAACACACAUAAGACUAUUUAGAAAACAGCAAAAACAAAUAUAAUUUUAUGUUUAAACGUAAACUUAAAAUUUUAAUUAUAUGUUUAAAUAUAAGUUAUAUAUACUUUGUUUUAUAAUUUUACUAUAUAUUAUUAAUUUUUUUUUUUUGAAGUUCAAAUAGAAAUUUAAUAAAAAAAUAUUACAUACUAUGAAAACAACAAAUAAUACAAAAUAUUACCACUUAAAAUACAUUUAUUUAUUUAAUAAAUUUAUUUUAAAACAGAAAAUAAUGCAAACUAAAUAGAUGAACCAUAAUUCAUAUACAUAUAUAUAUAUACAUGUAUAUGACAAUACAUAAUGAAAUAUCAGUUUUCUGUCGAGUGCAGUCUGGUUACCCAGAGUUUCUUCACACCCGAUAAUCUAGCUCUAAGGAGUUUUUCCUAAAAGGUUUUUAUGAUAGUAUUGAUUUGGAAUUGUAGAGGUGCGGGAAGUCACUGGACAAUUAGUUAUUUACGGGAAAUAUGGCAUAAACAUAGACCAGAUUUUUUGUUUCUCUCUGAGACAAAACAAGAUUUAGUUUACCUUCAGGGUCUUCAGUCUCAUUUUGAUUAUGAUAAUUUAGUUACAGUGGACCCGGUUGGUGCGAGUGGAGGUUUGGCGUUGUUUUACAAUAAUGAAUACCAGGUUGAUAUUCUAUAUACUAGUAAUCGUAUGAUUGAUGUUGAAACUUUGACCCUUGGAAAAAAAGUUUAUAUGACCUUUGUUUAUGGAGAGCCGGUUCAACAGUUAUAGGAUCAAGUUUGGGAACGGUUAACAAGGUAUGGCCUAGCAAGGUCAGAGCCGUGGUUUAUUAUUGGAGAUUUGAAUGAGAUAACUGGAAAUCAUGAAAAAGAUGGGGGGGGGGGGACAUACGAAGUGCAGGAUCUUUUGUACCGUUUAAUGACAUGAUUAGGAAUACUGGACUUUUGGAGUUCCCAGUCCGAGGAAAUUAGAUGUCCUGGCAAGGAAGAAGGAAACAAGGAAAAAAGAAAAAAGUUAUGGUUCGGUGCCGGUUGGAUCGAGCUUUAGCAAACGAAGAUUGGCAUACACUUUUUCCAUGCUCUUACACAGAAUAUUUGAGAAUGGUGGGGUCCGAUCAUCGACCGGUGAUGGCUUUUCUGGACAAUAAAAUAACAAGACGGAAGGGACAAUUUCGGUUUGACAAGAGAUGGAUUGGACAAGAAGGCUUAUUGGACUCGAUUGCAAGAGGGUGGGGUGAAUUCUCAGAGGCGAAUCCGGGGGAUUUCGUUUCAAAAAUCACAAACUGCCGUCAUGAGAUCUCUACAUGGCGGAAGAAUAAUCCACCUUGUGGGAAAGAGAAAAUUGGAGAACUCCAGAAAGCAGUUGAAGAAGUCCAAAUGGAUAAUACUAGAACCCAAGAAGAUAUUCUAGAGGUCUCAAGGAAGUUACAGGAAGCUUACAAGGAUGAUGAAGAGUACUGGCAACAGAAGAGUCGUAAUAUAUGGCACACUUCGGGGGAUCUCAAUACAAAAUUCUAUCAUGCUCUAACAAAACAACGUCGUGCUCGUAAUAGAAUUGUGGGUCUAUAUGAUUCUGUUGGAAACUGGAUAAUUGAGGACCAGGGGGUAGAAAAGGUGGCAGUGGAUUAUUUUGAAGAUCUGUUUCAGACAACAACUCCUACUGGUUUUGAUGUUUUUUUAGAUGAGAUUACACCCUCAAUUACACCACAAAUGAAUCAACGGCUUGUUCGGUUGGCAACUGAGGAGGAAGUUCGACAGGCUUUAUUCAUGAUGGAAUGACGGCUCUCUUUUUUCAACACUCAUGGCAUAUAAUAACAAAUGAUCUAUUGGAAAUGGUCAAUAGUUUUUUGGCAUCGGGAAAUUUGGACACAAGGUUAAACACUACAAAUAUUUUUCUGAUUCCUAAAAAGGAGAGACCCACAAGGAUGACUGAACUCAGACCUAUCAGCUUAUGUAAUGUAGGAUACAAGAUUAUAUCUAAGGUAUUAUGUCAAAGAUUAAAGGUCUGUCUUCCAUCACUGAUCUCGGAGACACAAUCGGCUUUUGUGCCUGGACGAUUAAUAUCAGAUAAUAUUCUUAUAGCUCAGGAGAUGUUCCAUGGUUUGCGAACUAAUAAAUCGUGUCAGGACAAAUUUUUGGCAAUAAAAAUGGAUAUGAGCAAAGCUAAUGACAGAGUUGAAUGGAUCUUUAUCCAAGAACUACUAACCAAGAUGGGAUUCGGCCAGCAUUGGAUCCAAUUAAUGAUGGAAUGCAUUUCCUCGGUUCAGUAUAAGGUUUUAUUGAAUGGACAACCAAAAGGACAUAUAAUACCACAGAGGGGAUUACGUCAGGGGGACCCUCUAUCCCCUUAUCUGUUUAUUAUGUGUACGGAAGCAUUGGUCGCAAAUAUUAAAAAAGGCAGAACGAAAUAAGCAACUAACGGGUCUAAAGGUUGCUAGGGCCUGCCCCCCAAUUUCCCAUUUAUUAUUUGCAGACGAUAGCCUUUUCUUUUGCAAAGCUAAGAAGGAAGAAUGUCAGACAAUUCUUAGGAUUCUCAAGGAAUAUGAAGGGGCUUCAGGACAACAAAUAAAUUUUGAAAAAUCUUCGAUUCAAUUUGGACACAAGAUUGCAGAAGCUACACGACAGAAAGUUCGAGAUAUCUUAGGUAUACAUAAUUUAGGAGGAACGGGGUCUUAUUUGGGCAUCCCAGAAAAUAUGGGAGGAUCAAAGGUGCAAGUUUUUGGAUUUGUUCAGGAGCGUCUAAAUAGCAGAGUAAAUGGUUGGACUUUUAUGUUUUUCACCAGAGGGGGUAAGGAAGUGAUUAUAAAAUCUGUGGUUACAGCCUUGCCAAACAAUGUAAUGUCAUGCUUUCGAAUUCAAAAAGGGUAAUCAAGAAAUUAGUUAGUGCUGUAGCACAAUUCUGGUGGAGUCCAGGGGGUAACAAGAGAGGUAUGCAUUGGAAAUCAUGGGACAAACUGUGUAGCUCUAAGGACGAUGGAGGUUUGGGAUUCAAAGAUCUCACAGAUUUUAAUACAGCUAUGCUUGGGAAACAAUUUUGGAGAUCAAUGGACAAACCGAAUACUUUAUUUUCACGUGUAUUCAAAGGGAGAUAUUUCAGGAAUGCUUCACCCCUGGAACCCAUUAGAUCAUACUCGUCAUCUUAUGGUUGGCGUAGUAUUGUCUCUGCUAGAUCUCUGGUUAGCAAAGGACUAAUCAAAAGGGUGGGAACAUGAUCAUCUAUAUCAGUAUGGAAUGACCCUUGGCUUCCAUCCACUCGCCCGAGACCAGCAAAUAAAAAUCAACACAAUCUUUACCCGGACCUAACAGUGGAUGCUCUUAUCGAUGGAACAUCACGAUCAUCGAACCUACAGGUUAUUCGGGCUCUGGUGGAUCCGCAAGAUGUGAAAAUUAUUCAAAGUAUUCCUAUCAGUAGAUCUCAUCUAGAAGACCGGAAUGGAUGGCAUUUUACAAACAAUGGAAAAUACAUGGUUAAAUCUGGAUAUGAAGUGGAACGAGUAUAUCCGGAUAGAGAAAUAAUGCCACCCCAGUUUGGCCCUUCGAUAACACCUUUGAAGGCGUUCUGUUGGAAGUUACGCUGCCCACCCAAGUUGAAACAUUUUUUAUGGCAACUAUUGACGGGAUGUAUAGUGGUUAAGAAAAAUUUGAGGUCAAGAGGAAUGCAAGGAGAUACUGUUUGUGACCGAUGUGGUGCUCCCGAGGAAUCAGCUAAUCACGUGUUUUUUGAAUGUCCACCGGCGGUUCAGGUCUGGGCACUUUCACGGAUCCCGAUGAAUCCAAAUAUUUUUUCCACUCAAUCUUUGUUUACCAAUAUGGAUCAUUUAUUUUGGAGAAUUUCACCUGAAAUGGAAGAUCAUUCAUUUGCUUGGAUUCUCUGGUAUAUAUGGAAAGGUAGAAACAACAAAGUUUUUAGCAAUUUGGAUAUGGACCCGAGAGAUACUCUCAAACUGGCAGAAACGGAAUCGUUACUUUGGGUGGAAGCACAAAAUUCUCAGACUCAACACAUGGAACACACCCAAAUUCAUGUAUCUUCGAUAAUAACGAGUAUACCAGGUAGAUGGUGUUUUACAGACGGAUCUUGGAAAAAUGAGGACAGCUUUUCAGGGCAAGGAUGGUAUAGUACCCUGGAAGGCUACGAUGGACUAAUGGGAGCAAGGAACACGAGAGCGAGUCAGUCGCCACUACACUCAGAGAUAGAGGCCCUUAUAUGGGCAAUGGAAUGUAUGAGGAAUCUUAGACAAGCAUGGGUUACUUUUGCAACGGAUAGUGCUCAAUUGGUGAAGUUGGUGUCGGAACCAGAAGAGUGGCCAGCCUUUGCAAGCUAUUUGGAAGACAUAAAAGUUUUUAAGAGGAGUUUUAACAGCUCAGAGAUCAUUCAUAUACCACGGACACAGAACUCAAAGGCGGACAGUCUCGCACGCAGUGCAAGAAAGCAACCGUCGUUUGUCGUCCAUAUGGAUGCAGAGUUACCGGGGUGGUUCGCAGAGUCUACAUGAGUCUGCUUUGUUUGCUGACAAAAAAAAAAUGACAAUACAUAGUUAAUGUAGAUCAAAAAUGGCAAUACAUAAUUUUUAAAAAAUAUAAAAAAUUAUAUACCAAAAAUAUUCUAUGUGAGAUUGGCAAGUGACUGAGUGGAUCUGGACUGGGCCUGUCGUUGAAAACUGGGCCUGGACGUCAAUAAUAAAGAAGAGCGAUAAAGAUUAUGCUCGGCCUCUGGUGAAAGAGUGAAACCCAAGAGCUAAAAUUACAUGUGCAUAUAAAAGGAGAAGGAUGAGAAGCAGAGGAUAACACCUCAUAACAACCUAACAGCCUCGUCUUCUUCUCAUGUUAUCCAGGUACCGAAGCAGAUGAUUCUGCCAUUGUUGUAAAGAAUCUCGUGUAACACUCCAAAGAGAUAAUGAAUUCCAGGUACCGAAGCAGAUGAGUCUGCCAUUGUUGUAAAGAAUCUCGUGUAACACUCCAAAAUCUGGGGAACUCUAAAACUUUGCGUGUGUUCUUGUCAAUUGUUUUCUUUCGUGUUGCGUUCUGGGUUUUCGAGUGUGGGAGUGGAGUCGCGAUCUUCAAACAACGAGAGACGUGAGAGAUCGAUAGAAUCAAAGCGUUCGAUAGUCAAGAGAGAUCAUUGAGAUACAAUACAAGUGUGUAUCAGAUUAUUCUACAAGUGGUAUCAGAGCUUGGCUAGAGCAUUCAAAGGAUUCAGAAGACAUGAUCGAGGUCCGGAUUCAGAAGAAAGAUCUGGUUCUACGAGAAGUAAAGAUUGAGGAGCACCAAUCAACGAGAAGAGGUUAAUCGGGAUUAUAAAGAAGUUCAAUUCUACUCUUAUACUAAAUCGAUCUGAUCUUGAAUCUUUGGUUGUGCGUCUAGUUGCUGUGGGAUUGUUUUCUUGGUUAUCUGCAAGUGACAAGAAGCGAGGAAUCACACAUCAAAGAGGAUGGAUCCGACGCCAGGGAGGUUCGAGAUCGAGAAAUUCGAUAGGAACGGUGACUUUGGACUUUGGAAAUUUAAGAUGAUGACACAGUUAGAGAUUCAAGGCCUGGUAUCAGUACUUCAGAAAGAAACCACUUUUGAAUUUGAUAUAGCAAAGCUAGAGGAAGGUGUCGAAGUAAAGAAAUACCUAAAGAAGGCAGAAAGAUAUCUAAGAGUUAGGAGUUUAUUCAUCACUUGUCUCAGUGAUUUGAUCUUGAUGAAGAUAAUGAAUGAGACUACAGCUCUUAGAAUGGGGAAAGAAUUUGAGAGAGACUACCAAACAAAGUCUUUGCCAAACUGAAUAUAUCUCAAGAAGAAGUUUUCUUGCUUCAGGAUGGAAGAAAAUAAACCAAUGGAAGAGAACUUUGACUCUUUCCUAAAGCUUCUAGCUGAUUUGGCAAGUAUCAAGAUCGACAUCUCAGACGAGGAUCAAGCCAUUCAACUACUCUCUGGGCUGACUACAGCCUGUGAGCCAUUGGUACAUACCAUACAAUAUGGAACCGGAAAGACAUGCUGACAGUCAACAAAGUCAUCACUAUGGCAUACUCAAAAGAGGCAGAGAUAAAGCAGAAGGGGUUGACAACAAGAGGCAUACACUCAAAGGGUCUUUACAGUGAGUCAAGGGGAAGAACAUCGACCAGAAAUGACUCAGGAAAUAACAAGCAAUGGAACAACAAACCAAAGAGCAGAUUCAGGUCAAUAGGAAAGUAGAAUGUAAAACAAGAUAAAACUUGUCGGAUAUGUGGAAGCGAUGGACACUGGAAACGAGACUGUCCAGAACACAAAAAACAUCUCACUCCUCAAAUUUAGAAAACUCAGCAAACGUGGCAAAGAAUUUUCCAGGGCUAAUAGCCUUGACAGACAGUCUGAUGGUAUCAAAUGAAGAGUGGGUGUUGGAAUCAGGUUGCACUUUUCAUAUCACGCAACAAAGGGAUCUUCUAUCAGAGUUUGUGGAAUAUGACGGGAAUAAAGUGAUGAUGGGUCACAACUCAUUCUGCAUAGUUUGAGGAAUGGGAAAAAUAACCAUAGACAACAAAGAUGGAUCAUCGGUCACAUUGAGUGAAGUUCGUUACAUCCCAGAUGUUGGACCCAAUUUUGGGUAAUACCUUAACGGGCCACGAUCAAAGUGAUGGGCCGUAAGGAACCAAAGCCCGUAGCAAGCAACCGAGCUCAAAAGCAAAGAAGUCGAGGCCCCAGAGAUCGCGGAGCGGUUACGAAGAUCGCGGAGCAGUUACAAAGGUCGCAGAACAGCUACAGAGAUCACGAAGUCGACUCGCUAUAAAGAAACGAGAAGGGACAUGAAGAAGAACACGUUGAAAACCCUAGAGAGAGCUACACACAUACAUCGACUUUGUUUUCUCCUGUUCUUAGAUCCUUUUCUUUAACGAUCUCACUUGUGUAAUUCAAUCUAGUUCAACUUAUUGUAUUCGGUCCAAUUCAUCAAUAAAGUCCAUUUUUGCCUACUGGAAACUAUUAACAUCGUUGUUUUCUAAAGAUAUUGUUGCCUACAUCUUUUGUCUUCCCUAGAUCAAACUCCCGAUCACUAUCAAAUACUUAGUGUAGAUUUUAGGUUCUACAUUUUGGCGCCGACUGUGGGAAAGAUAAAUGAAAAACAUCUUUGCUAAGAAACCGAUCUAAGUUUCCUAAGCGCGACUAUGGAUCCCAACCAAACCACCCGAACCAUGAUAUAUGGUGUUUUUUGUACCAUUAUAUGUGUGCUUUGAGCUAAUUCUCAGUCCUAAUUCGUGUUUAACUGAUAUCAUUCCAGGUUUGGAGCAGGUGAAAGAGUAAAGAAGAGAGAUUCUGGAAGUCAGAUGCCGUUUUGAAGGAUUCGAUGCGGAACAGUCAUCUAGAACAACCCGAAGGUUGUUCCCGAAGAGAACAAACGUUUGACUGUUCCCGAUCGUUAAGGAAACUUUCAAUUCUGGAAGUUUGCCCUAGAUUCCACUCUCUCUUAUCUCUUUACCACCAGCGCCUCCAUAUAAAAAGGCCUAUGCUAUCAUUUCUUUUUCGGACGCUAGUUUUUGCAAGAGACCUAUAACUAUUUUCUUUGGAUUAAGCAACUUGUAAGGGAGAAGGCUUCAUCUCUCAUUCUCACGAGAAGAUCAUCCUGAAACCUUUUCUUUCUACUUUAUUUUAUAUGCAGUAUUAUUCAGAAACCAUGUUUGUGUCAUCCUGCUUUAUAAUUGAGUAGUAGGCUAAGCUUGCUUAGGGUUGUAGGGUGUUAGCCGCAUGAACUGAACACAAAUAAGUGAUCUUAACUGUUCUUCAUUCAUAUUGUUCUUACUGCUUACAUUGAAUUGAUCACUUAAUGUUCGAUCUCUGAUUUAAUCACCUAGCUAACCGCUUAGGAGAUAAAUUGACAUAUAUUGAAUGAGCUUUGUAUCCCUAAUCAGCGAGAGUAGAUAUUAGGGUAUUACGUGAACUAAUCAGAUCUUGUCUCUAAGGCUUGUUAUCGUGUCUUGUUCCAAGUGAGAACUUAGGAUUCAAGACCGAUAUGCAAAGGGAGCAAGACCACGAUAGUGGAUUGUUCUAGCCGAGUGAUCUGAGUUCUAGACUGCACUUCAUUGCACUUGAAUAAUUGUUCAGUUCUGCAUUGACAUCCGAUUAAUAACCCUAAGCCGGCUUCAUUUAAAUCAAAUUUGAACCAUCUAGGUAUUCGAGUUACUUGCGUCACAAUUAAUUUCCAAAACCCCACUUGUUUCUCAGCUUAUUAUUGAACUCGUAAUAGUAAAGAGUAAACUGCUCCUCAGGAUUGAAUCUCAAAUAUUACAAUUACCACUGUUAACUUGACAGUAGCAAGGAUUCAUUUUUAGUGUACCAAGUUUUGGCGCCGUUGCGACGGGGACUAAGCUUUACCUUUCUUUUUCGGUUUAUUAUUUAGUCUGAGAUCAUCAAAAACAGACUUUUCUCACCAUUAAAAGUGUCCAGAUCAUCAAAAAAAAAUUAAAACUAAUAUUUGAUUCCUAGGUCUGAAUGUGACGCAGAGAAAAAGCAGAACAAAAGCGGGAGAAAAUGUUAUGUAGUCCAAUCUGCAAUUAGUACUCAUUCACGAUUUUAAAAGGAGGACAAGAAAAAAUAAUAAAAUAAUUAUGGACUGUAUGCAGAACAUUUUAAUACGAAUCCUGCAUGUACAAGGGAAAAACUAGCGGUGGUGAUGCAGGUGACCAAUCCCUGUUUUCACUUUUUUUUUUUAAUUAGUUAAAUAUUUGUUUUGUCUACAAUUAAUUAACUACUUAUUAUGUUUUUUCAAACUAAAGAUUCUCAAAUAUGGUUUAAUAGUUUAUCUUUUCACUUUGUAAAGAUAUAUUAUAUACUAUAAUAUUUUCAUAUACAAUUAUUUAUAUUCUCAUUACAUAUUCAUAGUUUUUAUAUAAUAACUAUUUAUGCUGUUAUUUUUUUUGUAUAAUAGAAAAUAUAUAACUUCACUAAUUAAUCAUAUAUAGUGUUUUGAAAAAUAUAAAACAUAUAUCUUAUAAUUAUUUUUAUUUCUAUUUUUGAUAAUUAAUAAAUAAAUGAAUUAAUAGUUGUGUAUAAAAACUAAAUCAGUAAAUGAAUUCAUGCAUUUUAUUGAUAAUUCAUAUAUUGAUUACAUAUAUUGGAAAACUUGUAACAACUAAAACUAAAACUAGAAAUUUAAUGAAUGCAUGCACAAUGAAAAAUAUCAAACAUAUUUUUUUCUCUUACAUAUUAUUUUUGUUCGUUAAAGAUAACGUUUAUUAGUAUUUUCACAUAUACUAAGAAAACAUACUAAAUCAAUAAAAUAAAUCAGACUAUAGUAAAUAAUAUAUAUUUAUUUGGUAUAUUCAUAAUUUUCUUAUAAUUUAGUUUCUGUAUGUUAUACCUGAUUUUAUUACUUAUAUAUAGUAAGUUGUAUUUUGUUUAGAUAUUUUUUGCUCCUACAUUUAUUCAGAUCAUUUUUUCAGAUAUUUUUUAGAUUUUUCACCUGUUUGGGACAGUUUAUAACACUUUCGGUUCGGAUAUGUUUUAUAACACCCUACGAAACCCAUUCAUGUAUUUUUUUACAUUUUGGACUUGAUACAAGUCAUUUUUUCGGUUCGGGUUUGGAACGAAAUUCAGGUUAAAAAUUUUAUGUCCAGCCCUAAUUAACGUCUUUAGAUCAUAGUUAGAUUUUAAUUUGGACUAUAAAAAUAAUUAAAAGGAAAUGGAAUACUCUUUGUCAUUUUAAUGAAUUUUAUCUAUUUUUUAAGUUUCAAUAUAUUUAUUAGAAUCAUAAUACUUUUUUUUGUUUUCGGUUUUUUUUUGUAAUUGUGUUCACAUUUUAUAUAAUGUUUAAAUUUUAUUUAUAUUUAUUAAAUUAAUCAAAAUAAUAAUUCAUAAGAAUUUGUAUUUUUGUUUUAGAUAUUUAAUUUACAAAAUUAUUUUUAACAUUUGGUUAAAUACACUAAUUCGAUAAAUUAGCUUAACGAGUUAGAUCUGUAUUUGUUCUGCAUGAUCUGCUUGAUCUGCGUUUGUUCUGCUUGAUCUGCAUUUGUUCUGCUUGAUCUGCGUUUUGGGUUUGAUCUGCAUUUUCUUGAUCUGCAUACCAUUCGAACCUGGAAGGAAUUCUGAUGCUGACUUAUUGGGAAACAGGCCUUGUAACAGAUGGUUUACCGGUAUAACUUUGAUGAUUUAAAUGUAGCGUUCCAAAAAAUCGUUUGUGUAACAAUUUAGUUUUAUAUUCUUUAGUUUACUUGUGUUUCAAAAAAAAAAAAUUUUAGUUUUCUUGUAAUUAUAUUUAAAAGUAAUAAUAAUGAUAAUAUUAAAAAAUUUAUAAAUAAAAUAAAUCGUCAAUAUUAGUUUAUAUAAACUCUAGAUUCACAACUUCACAUGUUUUUCAUUAAGAAAAAAUAUAUAUAAUAACCCGAUCGUUAAAUCAUAACUUAAAAAUAAAAGCAAAUAGGGUUUUCUCUUUGGCGACUCCAAGGGCAACUCCAUGGCGGCUUGAUCAGAUCCUCUUAGGGAUUUGAUCCAUUGACAGAUCUGUUGUUCUUUGACAAUAAAUUACCUCUCAGUCAUCCUUUACCUGACGAGAGCCUCACCGUUCAUGUACCGGAGUUUUGAUUAUAAUCUUCGUUGUGAUCAACCCUUCGUUCUCACCUUUCGAUCUUGAUAUCAUCUUUCGAUUUUGAGUGGGUCUGCCGGCAAAUAGUCUCGUACCAAGCCAAAGGAUGAAUCGACAACUCUCAGCUCAUAUUGCUGAUAUAAAAGGGAAACGUAUAUGUUACGACAACGACGAUGAACCUAUCCAACUAACGGAUGAAGAUGAUUCUCCUACCAUUAAGGAUUAUCGUAUGUCACUGAUCGGGAAGAUCUUAAACCCUAAGAAACAAUCCGUGAUCAAGCUGAUCCAAACCAUGCCGGCGCAGUGGAAGAUGCACGAUAGGAUCACAGCUAAUGACCUUGGAAGUGGGAAGUUUCUCCUCAACUUUAUGAGUGAAGAUGAUCCUCAGUCGGUCCUUCGUCAAGGGCCGUUUCACUACAAUUUCUGAAUGUUCGUUCUUGUUCGUUGGGAACCCGUUGUUCACGACGAUUACCCUUGGAUCAUCCCUUUCUGGGUUGAGAUUACAGGCAUUCCAUUACAUUUAUGGACGAUCAAAAACCUAAGGAACAUUGGAGGCAGGCUUGGCCGUAUUGACACUGUCGAACUCUCGGCAGGACGCAUGCUGAUUGACGUUGACACUAGGAAACCGCUAACAUUCACACGGAAGAUAGCAUCACCUGGAGGAGAGGAGGUCUCGAUUCAAAUUCAUUACGAUAAGCUCUUCAAACAUUGUUCAUCUUGUGGGAUGUUGACUCAUGAAGUGGCUUAUUGUCCGAUGAAGUUUCCAGUUGAAAGAGAUCGUGGUGAGCGAACUGGUGUCUUUGAAAGGGUUCAGCUACCUACUGUCAAAACAUCUCGAGAGCCGUUGCCGCAAGACCAGAAACCUUAUGUCAGAUACGAGUCCUAUUCACGUUCUGAUCGUUACGGUAAGCGAAGCCGUCGCAGUAUAUCACCUCAAAGGAAACAUAUGCAUGAUGGUGGCUUCAUGAAUGAUGCUAGGGCUGGUUAUUAUCGUUCUGAGGCUUAUAAUGAAAGCUUUUUGAGAAAGCAAGGUGGCAAAGAGAACAGAUACAACUCGAGCUUCUCACGUCGCAACAAAAGGUACGCACCUUAUCAGAAACAACAAACUCAAGCAUGGGAGGUUAAGGAGAAAACGGAGAAACGCCGGGGCCUGGAGAUGAUAAGCUGUGAGCCUUAUGCUCAUGGAAUGACCUCAACGCUGACUGCCAGCCCGCCUCCUCAAAGGUCAGCGGAUAUAGACAUGGAGGAUCGCAGUAGCAGAAAAAAGAUUGCAAGUACGAUUGUAACUCCGUCUCGACAGGGAAGUGAUGGAAAUGUUACUAAAAGAGAUAGAGAAACAGUUCGCCUACUGUCUUUCUCUCCUAAGGAGAAAGACCAGCUGGAUGAUGCUCAGAUAAUAGGAGCUUUGAAUGGCAUGGAGAUCAUUGGCACAAGUAAUAUGGAGGAAGGGGAUCGUGAGGAUUCCUUGAUGGUUGUGGAUAAUGAUGAUGACUUGCUGGGGGAUGAACUCAUGGACAUGGAUGCUGAAGCCACAAAGGCCGCGGAAACUGAUGGAGCCAAGGGUGUGGAGGCUAUGAUAGGGAAACCUAAAGCUACGUCUUCACGCAAAUUUGGAAGCAGGGCUGGCAUCCCUCUCGGCCUUCCAAAAAAGAAAGCAGAGUUCCUCCGUCGGGGAUCUCCGAAGCUGCGUAGAUCAUCUUCUCGCGACGUACAACGCUCAGAAACUCAUCGUUCUGGACAGAAAAGGAUUCAUAGGGACAGUUCAUGCAGCAAUUCUGGUUUGGAGGGGUCCAAAAACACCUCCAGACAUCAUCCAUGAAGACACUCAGUUGGAACUGUCGAGGGAUUGGGAACGACCUCACAGUUCGACGCCUUAAGGAGAUGUGUCAGAAGCAUCGCCCAGGACUUGUGUUCCUUUCUGAGACGAAGAAUAAACGGCUGUUGUUGCAAAACAUUCAGACCGACUUAGGAUUUGAUCAUUUGUUUACUGUUGAGCCACUUGGACUCAGCGGAGGUUUAGCUUUAUUUUUUAUGGAUGAAUUUCAAGUUAAUGUUUUAUUUUCAAAUAAUCGUAUGAUUGACAUUGAGGCAGUCAUUGAUGGAAUAAAAGUCUAUAUGACGUUUGUUUAUGGAGACCCUGUAUUAGAAAGAAGAGAACAAGUUUGGGAACGUCUUACGCGUUUCUCAACAACAAGAAAUGGACCUUGGUUCAUGAUAGGAGAUUUUAAUGAAAUAACAUGUCAUGAUGAGAAAGCAGGAGGACGACAACGCCCUGAUAGUUCUUUUCUUCCUUUUAAGCAGAUGCUUAAUGAUUGUGGUAUGCUGGAAUUUCCUUUCACAGGUGAGAUGCUUUCUUGGGUGGGGAAGAGGGCAGGAGGAUCAACAGUCCGAUGUCGUUUAGACAGAGCUGUAGGAAAUGCAGACUGGCAUGAGAAGUUUCCCCACUCGGCUGUAAAGUAUAUGAGGCUAUGGGGAUCGGACCAUCGUCCGAUUCUUGCAGACAUACUCAUAAAGCCCACGAGAAGAUCCAAAAAGUUUAAGUUUGACAAAAGAUGGCUGGAUAAUGAAGAGCUACGGCAAGUUAUCCUUGAGGGAUGGAAAUCCCCUGAUCUCCCCCCAAUGCGUCUAUCAUGGAACAUAUUUCCAGCUGCAGGAGAGCAUUGAGUGAAUGGCGAAGGCAAAAUAAUGUCAAUUCGGCAAAAUUAGUGGAGGAGCUUAAAGAAAAAGUUGAAGGUUUGUAUGCAGAUGAUAGUGCCACAACUGAGGAAAUUGCAGCAGCCUUAAAGGAACUCUCAGAUGCCCUUAAAGCAGAAGAGAUGUUCUGAAAACAGAAGAGUCGGGUGUUUUGGUUGAGAGAAGGAGAUAGAAAUACAAAAUUUUUCCAUGCUUUGACGAAGCAAAGAAGAGCAAGGAAUAAGAUCACACAGCUCUUGGAUGAGAAUGGAAAUGUUGUUGAGGAUGAAGAAGGACUAGUAGCCAUUGCUACUAGCUAUUUUAGGCAGAUUUUUGAAUCAUCGAAUCAGGAGGAAAUUGAGGAGGCGCUAGCUCAAGUUCCAACAACGAUCACUGGUGAUAUGAAUGCUAACCUUACAGCCCCGAUCUCUGAAUGGGAAGUCAAAUUAGCGCUUUUUGCCAUGCAUCCAGAGAAGGCUCCAGGACCAGAUGGGAUGACUGCGCUUUUUUACCAGAAAUUCUGGGACAUAGUAAAAGAGGAUCUAACUCUUAUGGUUAAUAAUUUCCUCUUUGAGGGGGUGGUGGCGAAAGGACUGAAUGAUACAAAUAUAUGUCUCAUCCCGAAGGUAAUGAAGCCAAAUGCGAUGGCUCAGUUUAGGCCCAUUAGUCUGUGCAAUGUCAGCUACAAGAUUAUCUCUAAAGUCUUAUACCAGAGGUUAAAAAAAGUACUACCAGGCUUGAUAUCAGAAACCCAGUCAGCCUUUGUUGCUUGGAGACAGAUUUCUGAUAAUGUUAUGAUCGCUCAGGAAAUGUUCCACGCAUUGCGAACGAAGCCAAGUGGACGGAAUAAAAGGAUGGCCAUCAAGACAGACAUGAGCAAAGCAUAUGAUAGGAUGGAGUGGUCUUUUAUUGAAGUUGUCCUGCGUAAGAUGGGUUUCUCAGAAAUUUGGAUCAGCUGGGUCAUGCGAUGCAUUACAUCGGUGAAAUAUAAGGUUCUCAUGAAUGGAGAACCAAGAGGAAAUAUUACUCCAGGUAGAGGUUUGCGCCAAGGAGAUCCUCUGUCUCCUUUCAUUUUUAUUCUAUGCACGGAAGCGCUCGCUAGCCUUCUUAAUCAUGCAGAGAUACAAGGGAAGAUAACAGGGAUGCGUGUUACACGCACGUGUCCGUCGGUAUCCCACUUUCUCUUUGCUGAUGAUAGCCUUUUCUUCUGUAAGGCGGAGCCCCGUGAAUGUGAAGAAGUUAUGAAAGUAGUCAGAAGAUAUGGCAAAGCAUCUGGUCAAUGUAUCAACUUUGACAAAUCGUCCUUACUCUUCGGUAAGCGGAUUAAUGCAACUACUAGACAAGAGAUUAAAGAUGCACUUGGGAUACAGAAUGAAGGUGGAAUGGGAACAUACUUGGGCAUUCCCGAAGACAUAAGUGGAUCUAAAUGCAAGCUUUUUGCAUUCCUGAAAGAUAAGCUGAUGCAUAGAGUGAAUGGAUGGACAGGUAGAUGGCUCUCAAAAGGUGGAAAGGAGGUGUUGAUCAAAUCCAUCCUGCUUGCUCUUCCGACAUACGUCAUGUCGACUUUCCUGCUCCCAUUGGAGAUAUGUGAAAAUUUAGCUAGUGCCAUCGCCCAGUUCUGGUGGAGCUCGAAUCCACCUAAGAGAGGAAUACACUGGGCAAAAUGGGAAAAAGUGUGCCUACCAAGAGAGGAGGGUGGAAUUGGUUUCCGAAUGAUCCAUGAGUUCAAUCUGGCUCUUCUGGCUAAGCAAAUGUGGAGACUAGUACAGGUCCCUAAUUCUCUGGUCGCUAGAGUUUUACGGGGAAGAUAUUAUAAUUUGAGCUCUCCCUUGAGAGUAAACGCUGUGACUAGCCCAUCAUAUGUGUGGACUAGCAUUUCUGCUGCAAGAAAAUUGCUACUACUGGGUAUUAGGCAGAAGAUACAUUCAGGCUAUGAAGUUAAGGUGUGGGUGGAUCCAUGGAUCCCAUUGAGCCCCGCGAGGCCUGCUGUCCCCAUAGCUCCAGUGAUGCAUCCUAAUAUGAGAGUAAGCGAUCUUAUUGAUCAGGAAUCAAAGGAUUGGGAUGUGGGACUAUUGGAGAAUUAUGUUCAUCUUGCGGAUAUACCAUUCAUAAGGAGUUUGGCAAUAAGUUCAACUCAUCGUCGUGAUACCUUCUGCUGGGACUUUACAAGGAAUGGACAAUACAAGGUCAAAUCUGGAUAUUGGGUGGCCCAGAAUCUAUUAAAGAUAACAGAGGAAAAGGAUGUUUUAGAGCCUAGUAUUACAAAGCUCCAAUCCUUUGCGUGGAAAUUAAAGGCUCCUACGAAGAUAUGUCAUCUUAUAUGGCAGUUGGUAACUGGUCACGUGGCAGUAACGAGGAACUUAAUUAGACGCAAUAUGAGGUGUGAUAAUUACUGCCCAAGAUGUGGAGACGUGGAGGAGACCGUCACACAUGCAAUUUUUGAAUGUCCACCAGCUCUUCAAGCAUGGUCUUUAUCAUCAACUCCGACAGGCCCAAAUAUUUUCCCGGUUUCGAGCGUCUACACAAAUAUGGAUUAUCUAUUCUGGAGGAAGAAUAGUAUCAUUGGGCCAGAGUAUGAUAGGGAUCCAUAUCCCUGGAUAAUAUGGUACAUUUGGAAGGCUAGGAAUGAAAAACUCUUCAGGGGAACAGACAGAGAUCCAUUGGAACUAGUUAGACAUGCAGAGAGUGAAUGCCAAGCUUGGUUUGAUGCGAAUGAUGUGGUACAAACUGAGGCACAAGAUAAUAUAAGUGAGGAACCCCAAGUCGUACGCUUGAGGAAUAUUUGCUUGUUAGAUGGCUCUUGGACAUCUUCUGCUAACUUUAGUGGAAGCGGAUGGGCAUGGAUGGAUAGCUCUGGGGAGACUCAACUUAUGGGAGCAAGGAACCUUCCCCGACGUGAAUCAGCCUUACACUCGGAAGUAGAAGCACUACGGUGGGCGAUGGAGAACAUGCUACAAUAUUCGACCUGUCAGAGCUUUGGAACAGAUUGUAAGGAACUGAUUGCAAUGGUAAAGGACCCUCAGGCAUGGCCAAGCUUUUCGACAGAAUUGGAGAGGAUAGGAACGCUACAGAUAUGCUUCCCAGCUUUCAACAUCUCUCACGUUCCACGGACGCACAAUCGGACUGCUGAUUUUUUAGCUAAGACUGCUAGAUCUUUCCAUAGAGAAUUACAUUUUGUUGGUUGUUCUAUUCCGGUUUGGUUACCCAGACCACCUCAAGUUUGAGUAAUAGAAUGGCCUUUUGACGUCAAAAAAAAAAAAUCAUAACUUAAAAUGAUACACAAAAAUAGACAGAGAAAUAAAAGGUCCACCAAAGAAAACACAAUAUGCACUCCCACAUAUAAUCAAAGAAAUGAGAACUUAAAAAAUCGGUGCACAAAAAAAAAUUGGUAGAUUAUUAAAUUUUAUAACAAAUUUUAAAUAUUUGACAGAAUACAGAGAAAAUAAAAAAACAGAAAAACUAAAAACUGCAAUAAAGACUAAAGCUACAAAGAAAAACAAGCAAAAGCAACAAACAAAAAACACCUAAAAAUAAAUUAAGGGGAUCAUGGAUGAUAAAGCACCAAUUCCGAGUAUAGAACUCGAACAUUUGCAAAGUUGCCGCAGAUCCAAAGAACUGGAAUCCUCAUCUUUGUUGCCAAGAGCUCCUCUUUCCGAGACCUGCCCUAAAACCUCGCAAGUGAGAAGAGCCUAUAGCUUCUCCAAGAACUAUGAAAACGAAUCAACUUCAGAAGAUCAAGCUACACCCGGCGGCAUAGGAGCUUCUACUAGCAGUCAGAGAAGUUGCCUCCGGCCAGCAUCCUCAAGCUAUAAAUCCUGAAGAAUCAUCUCCCAAGGUUGCAACAGAGCCGCCAAAGUCAGACCGAUGCCUCUAUUCAACACCUAAUCACCACCAACACUGCAGCAGACCAAAACUCAAUUGAAUAAUCACAUGUCCAUAACCUUUAAAGCGAAGCCACGCUGGAAACCAUAACAGAUCUGGAUAGAUCCGAAGAGCAAACAAAGGGGAAACUCUGAAC
rnacentral:lncRNA from 1 species